AUGGCGGUUGAACCUCACCUUGACGAUCUGGACACCGCCGCAGCAACCUACCAACCAUACGACAGAGCUUCCUCUUUCCAGCAGCAACUCACCGUGGACAGCUACGACCUGAGUGGUCCACUGUUCUUGGCCCAGGCAACAACCACUGGAGCAAGCACAUAUCUGCAUGCUGCAGUCACCAGCCCUGUGUUGUGCAAGGUGAACAGCAGCCUACAGACUGCUGCAGGGGGUAGCCCUGAGCACAGCCGGAGUAGAUCAAAUGAUGCUCUUCACUAUAUAAGCCAGAUGCUGAUGGAAGACGUCGACGAGAGGGUCGAAAUAAGCCAAGGGGAGGCUGCUCUCCAGGCUGCUGAGAAACCAUUCCGUGACCUUCUUGGGCAGGUACACCCGUUGGCUACUAACCCUGCGCUAUUGAAUAGUAACAACGAACUAGCCAGCCCUGAUAAGAGUAGGACCAGCCGUUACAAGAGACUCUGGAGCACUAGCUUCAGUAAUGACUGUCCCAGUUACAGCAUGUUACAGCCCUUUACAACCUCGUUGAGUCCAUAUAUCUGCAAUAGGAGUCUUUCUCUACAAAACCGCCCGUUCACAAGUGUUGGAUCGACUUCUAGAUCUGGUUUCCCCGGCUUGCAUUGUCAGAGAGAAGUCGAGGAGGCAACGAUGUUUGCUCCAAGUAUCGAUAAGCUGGUGAUAUAUUUAGAGAAUGGCAUACUUUCUAUUUCCAAAGUGACUACAAAGGCAAAAGUAGGAGAGAGGAGCGAAAACACAAUUUUUGAGGUGGCACACCAAAGUGACUGGGAUAUCUUGGAAGGAAGGAGCAAUAAACAUCUUGCCUUCACCAGUUGUGCAAUAAUUCGAAAUGAAAAUUUCGACCAAGUUCUGCUAUGCUAUGGCCUGGAGAGUUUCAAAAAAACAACAAGACUGCGAAGAGGGUUGGCAGAGGAAGGAAACAAGAACUCACUGAAAGGCCGGAGCGAAGGACAUCAGAAGCAAUGGCAGAGGAAGCAACCUAGGACAGAGUUGGUUGAUCUCAAGAUUCUCCUCAUCAAUUGUUCACAAGCUGUGGCAGAAGACAACCAUCUGUUGGCCAGUAAACUCCUAAAGAAGAUAAGACAACAUUCCUCAGCAGAUGGUGAUUGUUCUCAGAGACUGGCAUUUUACUUGGCGGAUGGCCUCGAGGCACGCUUGGCUGGGACCGGGUGUCAGGUUUAUCGCAACCUAAUGGAGAGGCGAACAAGUACAACAGAUUGGUUAGAUGCUCACAGCCUUUUUAUUGCAUCUUGUCCUUUUGUCAGGACGUCAUACUACUUUGCCAGCCAAGCUAUUCUUGAUGUCUCACAAGGGAAACCAAGGGUGCACAUCGUUGACUUUGGCAUCGGCUUCGGCUUUCAGUGGCCGUUAAUGAUUCAGAAGUUUGCACAGCAAGAAGAGGGAGCCCCUAAGCUUCGGAUCACAGGUAUAGAUGUUCCCCAGCCAGGUUUCCGCCCCUGCGAAAUGAUCGAGGAGACAGGGAAGCGGUUGGCUGAUUAUGCAAACAUGUUCAAGGUACCUUUUCAGUAUCAGGGCAUUGCCGCUUCAAGAUGGGAGACCAUUAAAAUUGAGGAUCUUAACAUUGACGAGGAUGAAGUUCUGAUAAUCAACUGCAUGUUCCGGAUGAAGAAUCUCGGACAUGAAACUGAAGCCAUAAAUAGUGCAAGGGACAAGGUGCUCAAAAUGAUGAGGAUGAUGAACCCAAAGGUUUUUAUUUCAGGCACCGUAAAUGGGUUACGCAGUUCUCCCUUCUUCAUAAAACGUUUCAAAGAGGUUAUGUUCCAUUACUCUUCAAUGUUUGACAUGCUUGAUGCAAACGUUAUUCCACGGGAUAAUGAAGCAAGAAAGAUGAUUGAGACGAUGAUAUUUGGGAAGGAUGCACUUAACAUGAUAGCAUGUGAGGGUGCAGAAAGAACUGAGAGACCAGAAAGUUACAGGCAGUGGCACGCAAGGUGCCUCAAGGCCGGGUUCCAGCAGCUUCCUGUCGAUCCAGCCAUCUUAAGGAUAAUAGUAUACAUGAAGAACACGUUUUGGCAUGAGGAAUUCUUUGCUGUUGAAGACCGCGGUUGGCUGCUACAAGGAUGGAAAGGGAGAGUAAUUUAUGCAAUAUCUAAAUGGAAACCUGACGAAACAUAUGAUGGUCAGUAA
rnacentral:rRNA from 1 species